rnacentral:rRNA from 1 species
AUGAACGCUGGCGGCGUGCCUAAUACUUGCAAGUCGAGCGAACAGACGAGGAGCUUGCUCCUCUGACGUUAGCGGCGGACGGGUGAGUAACACGUGGAUAACCUACCUAUAAGACUGGGAUAACUUCGGGAAACCGGAGCUAAUACCGGAUAAUAUAUUGAACCGCAUGGUUCAAUAGUGAAAGACGGUUUUGCUGUCACUUAUAGAUGGAUCCGCGCCGCAUUAGCUAGUUGGUAAGGUAACGGCUUACCAAGGCAACGAUGCGUAGCCGACCUGAGAGGGUGAUCGGCCACACUGGAACUGAGACACGGUCCAGACUCCUACGGGAGGCAGCAGUAGGGAAUCUUCCGCAAUGGGCGAAAGCCUGACGGAGCAACGCCGCGUGAGUGAUGAAGGUCUUCGGAUCGUAAAACUCUGUUAUUAGGGAAGAACAAAUGUGUAAGUAACUAUGCACGUCUUGACGGUACCUAAUCAGAAAACCACGGCUAACUACGUG